UUUUAGCCCCGAUAGAGCCGAUAUCCUCACGUAGUUUACGGAGUGAGAUAAAGGCGAAAGCGGGAAAUAGC
rnacentral:sRNA from 1 species